rnacentral:lncRNA from 1 species
GCUUUCUAGCUUUCCAAUAUCGCUUUUAGUGAACGGGUCCCAUAUAACUACAGCAUAUUCUAAAACGGGGCGGACGAGUGUUUUGUAUGCCAAUAGACGUACUGUUGGUGUGGAGGAUUUUAAUACGCGUCUUAGAAAAAAACAACUUGCGGCGACAGUUUGCUAUUACUGUACAGUAAAGCGGAAAGUGGGAA